GUUUUUAUAAUUUAACUCAAAAUAUUAGUCUUGUAAACUAAACAUAAGCACAACCUUUAAAAACA
rnacentral:tRNA from 1 species